AAUACGUUCCCGGACCUUGUACACACCGCCCCGUCAAGCCAUGGGAGCCGAGGGUACCUGAAGAUGGUGACUUUACGGGGAGCUAUCUAGGGUAAAAUUGGUAACUGGGGCU
rnacentral:rRNA from 1 species